rnacentral:rRNA from 1 species
GACGAACGCUGGCGGCGUGCUUAACACAUGCAAGUCGAACGGAAAGGCCCUGCUUUUGUGGGGUGCUCGAGUGGCGAACGGGUGAGUAACACGUGAGUAACCUGCCCUUGACUUUGGGAUAACUUCAGGAAACUGGGGCUAAUACCGGAUAGGAGCUCCUGCUGCAUGGUGGGGGUUGGAAAGUUUCGGCGGUUGGGGAUGGACUCGCGGCUUAUCAGCUUGUUGGUGGGGUAGUGGCUUACCAAGGCUUUGACGGGUAGCCGGCCUGAGAGGGUGACCGGCCACAAUGGUACUGAGAUACGGCGCAGACUCCUACGGGAGGCAGCAGUGGGGAAUAUUGCACAAUGGGCGGAAGCCUGAUGCAGCAACGCCGCGUGCGGGAUGACGGCCUUCUGGUUGUAAACCGCUUUCGCCUGUGACGAAGCGUGAGUGACGGUAAUGGGUAAAGAAGCACCGGCUAACUACGUG